rnacentral:rRNA from 1 species
GUGCCAGCCGCCGCGGUAAUACGGAGGAUGCAAGCGUUAUCCGGAUUUAUUGGGUUUAAAGGGUGCGCAGGCGGCUUGUUAAGCGGGAGGUGAAAUGCCGGCGCUCAACGUCGGAAGUGCCUCCCGAACUGGUGAGCUUGAAUGACCCUGCCGUGGGAGGAAUGUGUGGUGUAGCGGUGACAUGCAUAGAGAUCACACAGAACACCGAUUGCGAAGGCAUCUCACGAAGGGUUGAUUGACGCUGAGGCACGAAAGCGUGGGUAGCGAACAGAAUUAGAUACUCUGGUAGUCCACGCCGUAAACGAUGAUGGCUAACCGCUGGGGCAUUCGUUUCAGUGGCUAAGCGAAAGCGAUAAGCCAUCCACCUGGGGAGUACGACCGCAAGGUUGAAACUCAAAGGAAUUGACGGGGGCCCGCACAAGCGGAGGAACAUGUGGUUUAAUUCGAUGAUACGCGAGGAACCUUACCCGGGCUCGAACGGCAGGCGAACGAUGUAGAGAUACAAAGGUCCUUCGGGACGUCUGUCGAGGUGCUGCAUGGUUGUCGUCAGCUCGUGCCGUGAGGUGUCGGCUCAAGUGCCAUAACGAGCGCAACCCUUGCCGUCAGUUACCAGCACGUAGAGGUGGGGACUCUGGCGGGACUGCCACCGCAAGGUGUGAGGAGGGGGGGGAUGACGUCAAAUCAGCACGGCCCUUACGUCCGGGGCGACACACGUGUUACAAUGGCGGCCACAGAGGGGCACUACCUGGUGACAGGAUGGGAAUCUCGAAAAGCCGUCUCAGUCCGGAUCGGAGUCUGCAACCCGACUCCGUGAAGCUGGAUUCGCUAGUAAUCGCGCAUCAGCCAUGGCGCGGUGAAUACGUUCCCGGGCCUUGUACACACCGCCCGU